rnacentral:rRNA from 1 species
CCUACGGGGGGCUGCAGUGAGGAAUAUUGGUCAAUGGGCGAGAGCCUGAACCAGCCAAGUCGCGUGAGGGAGUACUGCCCUAUGGGUUGUAAACCUCUUUUGUCGGGGAGCAAAAGCCGGACGUGUCCGGCUGUGAGAGUACCCGAAGAAAACGCAUCGGCUAACUCCGUGCCAGCAGCCGCGGUAAUACGGAGGAUGCGAGCGUUACUCGGAUUUAUUGGGUUUAAAGGGGGCGUAGGCGGAUUUUUAAGUCAGCGGUCAAAGCGUGGGGCUCACCCCCCUCCAGCCGUUGAACCUGGGGAUCUAGAGGGUGCGAGAGGUAAGCGGAAUGCGUGGUGUAGCGGUGAAAUGCAUAGAUAUCACGAAGAACCCCGGUUGCGAAGGCAGCAUACGGGUGCACAACUGACGCUCAGGCACGAAAGCGUGGGUAUCGAACAGGAUUAGAUACCCGAGUAGUC